rnacentral:rRNA from 1 species
AUUGAACGCUGGCGGCAUGCCUUACACAUGCAAGUCGAACGGCAGCACGGGGGCAACCCUGGUGGCGAGUGGCGAACGGGUGAGUAACAUAUCGGAACAUACCCUAGAGUGGGGGAUAACGUAGCGAAAGUUACGCUAAUACCGCAUACGAUCUAAGGAUGAAAGUGGGGGAUCUUCGGACCUCAUGCUCAUGGAGUGGCCGAUAUCUGAUUAGCUAGUUGGUGAGGUAAAGGCUCACCAAGGCGACGAUCAGUAGCUGGUUUGAGAGAACGACCAGCCACACUGGAACUGAGACACGGUCCAGACUCCUACGGAGGCAGCAGUGGGGAAUUUUGGGACAAUGGGGGCAACCCUGAUCCAGCAAUGCCGCGUGAGUGAAGAAGGCCUUCGGGUUGUAA